GCAUGGUUUCUGUGUGGAAAGUUUUUCGGUUGGGGAUGGACUCGCGGCCUAUCAGUUUGUUGGUGAGGUAAUGGCUCACCAAGGCGACGACGGGUAGCCGGCCUGAGAGGGCGACCGGCCACACUGGGACUGAGACACGGCCCAGACUCCUACGGGAGGCAGCAGUGGGGAAUAUUGCACAAUGGGCGAAAGCCUGAUGCAGCGACGCCGCGUGAGGGAUGAAGGCCUUCGGGUUGUAAACCUCUUUCAGUAGGGAAGAAGCGCAAGUGACGGUACCUACAGAAGAAGCACCGGCUAACUACGUGCCAGCAGCCGCGGUAAUACGUAGGGUGCGAGCGUUGUCCGGAAUUAUUGGGCGU
rnacentral:rRNA from 1 species